UAUUGGUAAGGGUUAUUAGGCUUUGUAAUCCAUUGUUCAGGGAUAUUAUGAGAUAUCAUGAGAUAUUUACUAAUAUUUACAGAUAUUUCUAAAAAAUUGGUAAAGCCAAUGUGCUAGGAAUAUCUUAGCUACAGCUGAUUCUGUCCUGGGGCAGGGAAUUUGUUUAUAUGAUACCCCAUGAUCCUUUCCAGGUCUAUUUUGUGUAUUUGGUAUCACUGCACAUUCUGAGGUAAUCACAUCCACUUUUUAAAGACAAUGUUGGAAAACAAUUAGAAAUGAUCAAUGAAAAGUAAGACACACAGCAGUAUCAGUUACAUUGUCUGGCCUUCAGUUUAGCAUGUGUUGGCAUGGAUUUCUGAAAAGCUUUACAUUCUUCAUUUAGGCUCUUACUACUAUAACAUGUUACAAAGCCACAUGGUUCUUGGGCUGAGAUGAUGUGAUAAGGACAAGAGAAAAACAAAACAAAAUAAACAACAAAAAGCUUAUCUAUUUGUUGUAGUUUGAGAAAGUUUAAUACAAAAACUUACAAUCAGAAAUUUUAUUUGUUGUUCAGAUAAAGGAUGUUCAGAUAUUCAGUCUCCCUGACAAGUAAAUUAUGUUUUUUUCUUCUCUCUUCUCUCUUCUCUUCUCUUCUCUUUUCUUUUCCUUUCUUUUCUUUUCUUUUCUUUUCUUUUCUUUUCUUUUCUUUUCUUUUCUUUUCUUUUCUUUUCUUUUCUUUUCUUUUCUUUUCUUUUCUUUUUCUUUUCUUUUCUUUUUCCUUUCCUUUCCUUUCCUUUCCUUUCCUUUCCUUUCCUUUCCUUUCCUUUCCUUUCCUUUCCUUUCCGCCCAAGUACAUACACUGGUUAUUCAGAGAAAGUUUCUAAUAUUACAGAACAAGUGCUAUAAAUCCUGAACAGUUUGAGAGUUCCUCAUUACUUAAACUGUAAUUUCAGCUGCUUUGACAAAAAUUAUGUCUCUGAAAGACAAUUUUUAGUGAGCUACACUACCAUAAAUCUUCAUAUUCCAAUAUAUUCCAGACUUCUUCAGGGGAAUCAAAUUUGAAGUAGCAAAUGUGGCUUCAAAAUACUACCAAAUGAACUGAAUAGUGCAUUUCAGAAACAAGCCUGCCACAAUCAGCUAGUAUGUAUAAUGAAAUAAAGUUCAUUGUAUCAUUUUACUGGUAUUACA
rnacentral:lncRNA from 1 species